rnacentral:rRNA from 1 species
AGAACGAACGCUGGCGGCAUGCCUAAUACAUGCAAGUCGAACGAGAUCUUCGGAUCUAGUGGCGCACGGGUGCGUAACGCGUGGGAAUCUACCCUUGGGUUCGGAAUAACAGUUGGAAACGACUGCUAAUACCGGAUGAUGACGAAAGUCCAAAGAUUUAUCGCCCAGGGAUGAGCCCGCGUAGGAUUAGCUAGUUGGUGAGGUAAAGGCUCACCAAGGCUACGAUCCUUAGCUGGUCUGAGAGGAUGAUCAGCCACACUGGGACUGAGACACGGCCCAGACUCCUACGGGAGGCAGCAGUAGGGAAUAUUGGACAAUGGGGGCAACCCUGAUCCAGCAAUGCCGCGUGAGUGAUGAAGGCCUUAGGGUUGUAAAGCUCUUUUACCCGAGAUGAUAAUGACAGUAUCGGAGAUAAGCUCCGGCUAACUCCGUGCCAGCAGCCGC